CUUCAUGAUGAAUAUCCAGAUAGGGACAGCUUAUGCUUUAAAGCAUGUGAUGUGAACUGGACGAAUAUUUUAGUAGAUACUUCGUGUUUUCUGAAA
rfam:Sclerotinia borealis F-4128 unplaced genomic scaffold scaffold00024, whole genome shotgun sequence.